rnacentral:rRNA from 1 species
GAUGAACGCUGGCGGCGUGCCUAAUACAUGCAAGUCGAGCGGACAGAUGAGGCGCUUGCUCCUCUGACGUUAGCGGCGGACGGGUGAGUAACACGUGGAUACCCUCCCUAUCAUACUGGGAUAACUUCGGGACACCGGCGCUAAUACCGGAGAAUAUAUUGAACCGCAUGGUUCAAUAGUGAAUGACGGUUUUGCUGUAACUUAUCGAUGGAUACGGGCGGCAUUAGCUAGUUGGUAAGGUAACGGCUUACGAAGGCAACGAUGCGUAGACGACCGGAGAGAGGGGUCGGCCGCACGGGAACUGAGACACGGUCCAGACGCCUACGGGAGGCAGCAGUAGGGAAUCUUCGGCAAUGGGCGAAAGCUUGACACAGCAACGCGGCGUGAGUGAUGAAGGUCUUCCGAUCGUAAAACCCUGUUAUUAGGGAAGAACAAAUGUGGAAGGUACUAUGCACGGAUUGACGGUACCUAAUCAGAAAGCCACGGCUAACUACGUG